UUUCUAACAUAUGCUUAUCAAAAGCCUUCUCGUUCCAUCAAACAAUACGAAAAUUUUCAAUUGAAUGAAAGACAUACUAUUUUAUAUAUCACAGUACUUCAUGGAUCAUCAUCAUCACAUAUCCUUAAUUCAAAGGUAAUAAAUGAGCAUCUAGUUUUAUUUUAAUUUUAUUUUAUAUAGGGACUACAGAAGCAAGCACCCUCUGUAAAUUAAACUCUAAAACUUCUCAAGUAUCUUGAAAGGUGCCAAAAGCCAUCAGCCAACUCCAGUUGAUGCAUAACCUCCUACAUUUACAAAAACAGCGUCGCCGUUAAUUUAUUGACUUCUUCCCAGGACACAUACCAAUUUGCGAAAGUGGUUUGACUGAUGCUAUAAUUAGUCGAGUAAAGUACAGUCUUUUCAAUUAAGCAGAUGCAAAACACUUAGUUGAUGCACUACAAAUAUGAUUUUUACCUUUAAUUAACGCGCUUCAAAAUCAGAACUGGACUUGUAGUUUGCUGAAGCAACAGUUUCAAGUUGCUGAUUCCCACUUAUACCAGCCUCCACCGUCCUCCUUCCAACAAAAAAUGCUGGCUUUGUUGGUGAUGCUAAUGGAAAGCUUUCAUUUGUCAACAUAGAUAUGACAUCUGACAUGGUAGGGCGAUCUGCUGCAUUUUCUUCUACGCAAAGCAGACCGACAUGGAUGCAUCUUAACAGUUGCUCUUUAAUAAACGAAUUUCCUAAUGUUGGAUCCGUUAAUUCUAGCCCUGCACCUUUUUUCCAUAACUCCCAUGCCUGAAGAACAAGGAUUGCAUUUCAUUCUAAAGAAGAAAAAUAUGAUUAUAAAUUUUAAGAGAGAGAUUUGUUUGUCAUACAUAUCCUACUAAAUUGAGUGCGCGAUCGUCAUUGUAAAAGCUGUUGUUUUUCCUUCCACUUAUGAUUUCAAGCAUCAAUACCCCGAAACUGUAGACAUCAGACUUUACAGAAAUAAUUCCCCCCACGGACUCUGGAGGCAUGUAACCACUACACCAAAUGAAAAAGAAAAAUAGUCAGUAUACUUAUCUGGAAAAAUGCGUGUUUAGCAGUCAAAAGGGGAGGACCACGUCAAUAUGAUGCAGAAAUACUUACAGUGUCCCCGCAACCUUUCUAGUGUUUGCUUCCAAUUCAUUUUGGGUGAAAAUCCUUGCCAUACCAAAAUCUGAAAUUUUUGGGUUCAUGUUUUCAUCAAGUAGUAUGUUACUAGCUUUUACAUCUCUAUGAAUUACUUUCUUUCUUGAGUAUUUGUGCAGAUAAAGCAACCCUUGAGCAAUUCCUUCGAGAAUGCUAAAACGCUUCUUCCAAUCUAGUAGUAGACCUCUGAUUGGAUCUGUCCAAUAUGUUGAGUUAAGUAGGACUAAUAUUAAUUAAUAGUAGUACUCUAUGAACUUUGACAGUAAAAUAAAAAUCAGAUAGUAAAUUUAACAAAUGAAAUCAAGUAUCUUGGUUCCUCACCAAAUAAAAAGUGGUCCAAACUUUUGUUCUGCAGAUACUCAUAUAUCAACAUCAUUUCUUCACCAUGAAUGCAAAAUCCGAAAAGGUGAACCAGGUUUGUAUGUUGGAGUUCAUAUAUAAGUAUCAGUUCAUUCUUGAAUUCUGAUGUUCCUUGCCCUGAACAUUUCGAAAGCCUCUUCACAGCUAUUUCUUGUCCCGUUGCCAAUUUCCCCUGAAUUGAUAAUCCAUAUCAUGCUUUUGCUGUCAUUUUUAGGCAAUUGAAGCUAAUUCCAUUUUUUUUUUCUUACAGCUUUUGAAUUAGAAGCAGAAAUUUUUGUUUUUUCAAAAUGUUACCUUAUAAACCGGUCCAAACCCUCCUUGUCCUAGCUUGUUUUCUUCAGCAAAGUUUCUUGUGGCAGCCACGAUGGAUGAAUAGCUAAAAACGCUAAAAUCAUGAUGUCGCUUAGAUUCAUGAAGAUAAGCAUUUCGUUCUCAAGCGUUGUCCGGUUCUCACCUAUACAGAUCAAUUAUAAGAAAUUAAAGUUUCAAUGGAGACAACAAUUGUCAAAGAUGUGAUUAAUAAUCCUGUAUUACUGGUGCACAUGAUUUAAAGAAAUAUACCAGCUGAUGCAAGGGCUGAUCUUCUUCGUCGGAGUAGAUAGUACGCGGUGCAAAGCACUAGAGCAGCAGCUAUAGAAAUGCCAAUCCAAACCCAUUUAUCUGCUGCAUCAUAAACAAUUAGCUAGCAACAUAUGCAAUCAGUGUAACACACACGGACAUGUACGCAUUAAUUGUCUUCAAUUUUUGGAUGAACUAGGUCUUGCAGGUUUCUUCCGGAAAACGGAAAAAUUCGAGACAGAGAGCAGAACUUAAGACAACAAUAACAAAGAUAGAGGUACCUAAUAAUACUGAUUCCACGCGUGUCACAGAUUUCCGGCUCAAAUCGGGUUUGCAGCCUCGGUAUAUAUCCUUCGGAUCAAGAAAAGAAAACCCUUUUGGGCAUUCGCAGGUUGGCCUUUUAUCUGGUUUGAGCAUACAGGUACUGUUGUAACCGCAAACACCAACGCCCAGUCGUAGGCAAAUAUCAUCCGGCAUAUACACCAGAGGACUAAUCCAACUUGCAUUUCCCGUGAAGUUUUUCUGGUGAGAAUAUAAAGCGAAAAUCCCAUCAAAAUCAAGAGUUGCCCUUAUGUAGUUGUCCCUCACCGACACUCCCUCUGUCCCCUUAAGAGGGACUCUUCCAUCAUUUUCUCUUAGAACAAACAUGUCCCCUGAGCUGCUGAACACCAAUCGUUUGCCUUGACUACCUGGCACGUUCCCUGACGUGGUCUUCGUGGAGAAGUAAGGGAUGUUGGCAUUAUCUGUUGUGACGGAAAUGAGCACGAGGUUUCCAUCACCUUGCAAGCUCAGCCGGAACCGCCCUUUUGUGUAGUUAGUCUCCGAUUGUCUACACGAAAGCGUCCCGUUUCUCUCAAUUGUCUGUCCAGGCAAAACGGUGUCUGUAGGAUUGCUGAAGGUCUCCCACAAGCUCCCCGAGUUUUGGUGUUGAAGGACGAAGUUUCCGGUGUCAUUCAUGACCCCGUUCGCAACAGUCCCCAAGGUUAUUUCGGAUUUCCAUAUCUCUCCACCCUGAGGAUUGUUAAGAACUAGUCCACUGUUGGCAGUCAAGUUCAGAACUGAUCCCCUAGGUGCAACCAUGGGGUUGUUACCGUCAUAUGCAUACCAAAACUACGGUUUUGUCUGGGAUUUUCGCAUACCAUAUCGAAAGCAAGAAACGAUCAUUGUUUCCGAGGGGCGAAAAUCCAAACGCGAAAUCACCGGAAGGAGAAAGCCAUGAUGAGGAGUCGCCUGUAGUUGCAGUUAGAGAACUCCCAACUGCUACUCUUCCAUUAUUUUGGGAAAUCACAGAAAUUGGUAGCAAAAACAAAGAGGAGAACAAAAGCAUCUCUACAGAAAGAGCCACUGCCAUUGCAAAAGCACCAAUUUUUCAACUUGGCUUGAUUGAUUAGCUAUAUUUCUUAGUAAAGCAUUGGUCCUUGUUAUAUCUUUAAGUAAAUGCGUGUGCACCAUGUGCCUGUCAUUUUCUAAGUUUUUGCCUGGAAUUAAAGGCGUCUACACCAUUUUUUGAAGUCACACACAACAAUAUCUCCGGGCCUACAGAAUAAAUUCUCCGAACCUACACAUAUCACAAGAAUUUCACUUUGAAAAAAAAAAUAUAAUGAAUAGUUCUAUAUAUAAUGACACCGAGACUUUUUGUGAUUGAAUUUAUUCUCUCUCAACUCCUUUGUAAUGUUGCAAGUUGGAGCAAUAUUGACGUAAUUAGCAAUGGUCCGCUGACUUGUCUCUCUCAAAUCUCUUAUCAUCCUACUCUCAUCCCUCGUCUGUUUUAUGAUUCUACUUACUUAAGCACUUAUAAAUGUUCCAAAUCAGCAAAGGACUUGUAACUUAAAUAAUUAAUAAUAUUUAUCACUACACUCGAGAUUCUAGGUUCCAAAAUAUAAUAUAUAAUAUAUAUGAAUGUUUCCGAACCAAAAGGACAAGUAAAUACGAGCAUGACUCACGCUGCAUGGGUCGGCCAUUCAAGUCCACCAGUCAAAAUUCAACAAUGGGGCCCACAAAGAAAAUUUGAAAAAGUACAUGCAGAUUGGGGACGGAUACAAAGAAAAUCUGAAAACAGACCUCCAGAACCAAACAAAGACGACUAAGCCUUUAAGUCAAGUGACAAGAGACUUAUAUCUUCACAAAAACAAAGACGACUAAGUCUCAAUUUCUGUAUUCACAAAAAAAAAAGUACUAACUGAAGUUUUUAAUGUAUGAUUACGUCGUUGGGGUAAAACACCCGAUGCCGAGUUGAGAUAAUCACAGGGUUGGGGAAUCAAGAACCUCUUCGAAUGUCACAAUCUAGCGCAAACGGAUGUAGAGACUCAAACCACUUAUUUUAAAUCAUACGGCCUUCAUUAGCCUAUCCUAUUGACCCACAUGGUCCAAAUCUGUCUCUCCCCUCUCUUGAACGGUUUGGAUAUCUCGAUUUGUCGAUUUUGGAUUGCGAGAUUCAAAGAGAAUCUGAUUUCAUGUUUGAGGUGAGGUUUGACGACCAUUUGAAGCCCGUUGAGGCGUGGCCCAUCUCAUCAGGUCGGGUCAGCCAUUUCGUACCAGGUUGGAUCCCAGGUCAGGCCAACCAUUUCAUUAGCCUAAGAUGGACCUGACAGACGAGGCGCUUGGAUAUUGCCUACCGCGACCAAAUGGACCCAUGGACUCAUUAGAUGAUGAGUCUGGACCCUGGUGUGUGUAAAGCCCACCUCAGCUCGAUCCAUAUUCGAUCGAUACUACAAAGAAGGUGGAUAUGAGGUAAAGGUAGAGUAAGCUCCAAGUCAUGUGGAGGUCAGUCGAGAUUGAACACACGUUCAUAGAAUCAUAGUAUCAAAUUCAAGUCCAAAUUUUAACACUACGAAACCGAAAAGCAUUGUUUCAGUCCAACAACCCAAACUUCCUUAAAAAAACUAAGACAAAAACGACGACACUAGGAAACGGAAAAACAUGCAACUCAGAAAACCAUUACUCUAGUCCAAAUGAGGUUCCUCAAUGCCUCAAGCUUUUAUAAAACACCAUAGCCUGAACCUUUUCCUUUGCGCCUUCUUUGCUUCACCAGAAACGUUCUUAAUGAGCUCCUCUUCAAAUUUGGGACGAGCAGGCAUUAGGCUGUGCACAAUGCUGUAAACGCCCCUAGCCCUUGCCACACCCUAGGUGCGUACGCGUGCAUGUCCGACCUGAGUUAUCUUAUUACGCGCGCAGUUUGAUCUUCCCGUAUUGACAUCCCUGCUGUCUAUUCUCCUGCGAAUCCUUCUGCUGGUGACUUCAUCCGAGUCCAUUUUCUUGCUCCUCAGUGCAUGUUCAUCUGCUUUUCCCUGUUAAUAAAUAUAGGAAUCCCAUAACAAACAGCAUUUGACAAAACAGAACGUAAUAAUAACAACAAAACUUGACUCCAUCCUCAGUGCAUGUUCAUCUGCUUUUCCACUUCAAAGCAGCUGACGGCACGAUUCGUACUUGGACUCCAAAAUGUCUAGAUUAUGGAGAAACCAGCCUUCUAUCCAAAACACACAAAGAAGUGUAUUUUCCGUUUAUACCAAUUAAGUGUGUUGAAGCAUGUCCCACAUGGCCACAUAGGAAACUUGUUGAGGUUUAAAUCCUCUUAUAUAGAAAGUUCGACUACUAAUUGCCUUGAGGCCUUAAUUCUGUAUAAAACCAUACCUAUUGAAUUGCACACGUGCUUAAGUUAAGGUCAGUAUUGAUGGUAAUUAGUAGUGGGCUGCUGGGCCGUCUUAAAAAAACUGGUACAAAGGGCAAUUUAUAGAAGCAGUGUUGAGAUAAGGGCAAUUCAUCUGUUCUUUUUAGAAGGAUAUAUAUGAAUGAAGCAAGGUUUAUCUGCUAAUGCGGCUCAGCCCUUUAUCAAAAAGUGAAAGAUCAAAAUUACUUUUACAGCAAGAGCAAUACCAGAAGAUGUAAUCUAAAUUAUUUAUAUUUGGUUCCCUUGAAAUCCUUUUGACUGCUUCAACAUACUAUAUGCAGACAGAACCAGAACCAAGUCCAGACUCACUCGUAAUAGGUCUCCUCAUCCACAACAAUAUCCCAGCUUUCCCUUGUCGUGGUUUUCCCAUAUUUGUGCACCUUACUGCAAAGAGAGAGCAAGUUAACUUGUCAAAGAAAAACCAGAACAAUAGAUGCCAAUGCAGUUCAAAAAGUUUAUUUCCCUUCAUACCCAUUUCCGAAGUGCUCUUCUCCCCAUGUCCUUGACCAACCUAGACAUGAGAGAACAAAAACAGAGUUACAUCAGAUUAAAUUAUUGAAAGAAAAAGGUUCACUUCUGUUGUAACAAAUCGACAUUAGAAUCAAGCAACCACGCUAUGAAAUACAAAUUUAAAAUGUAACAAUUUACUGUGUCUAAAAGGAAUCUUGAAAUAAAAUAGUUAAACCCUAAACAGCACCACUGCAAAUAGCAUAAGAAAAUUAAAAUUAACCCUAAAGAAAUUGGGAGAGAAGAAUAUGAAAAGGGAAUACCUUUCGGCCCCUUUGAGUUAUUGGAAAAAACCCAACAGAGCAAAAGAUAAACAAAAAUACAGGCGGAAAGAAAAUAAAUUUUCAACUUGUAAGAUUCAUACGCGAACAGAUUGGUGGUCAAAAGCAUUUCGGAAUUCAGAGCCAUCAAGCUUUUUGAUCUGCAUGGAAAUUAUUUAUGAAGUUUGAGAUUCUUAUAGACGCUUUAGACACAUCGACAUAUUGAGAAAGCAAUAUUCAACAACCUAGUACCCAUGCUCCAUAGAAGGUUGAGAAAAUAUGAAUGUCUGGACUCUGGAGUGAGAAAGUAAAAGGACUUACCGCAUACUUCAUAUCUUCUAACUUUGUGUAGUCUACAAUCCCUGUUGUGCCUACAAAAAAGGCAUAGGACAAAAGCUAAAUCAAUCGAAAUUCUGAUGUCAUGAUCUAGGUCUUAGGAUUAAACUAUUGAAAUAACACUAUAUGAAAUAGCAGUGUAUAUCCCAAAAAAAGUAUGAAAUCUGGUUGAUAAUUGCAGAGUUCGAAGGGAUUUACCUUUGGAUUCUUCGGCUUUCAGAUGGAGUUUGCUUAUGUAUGGGAGAGAGAGGUGGAGCGGCUAGGGUUUGAGUAUGGAAGAGAUGAAAAAUGGAGAGAACACCUGUUUUGGCUGCAGCAACUCACACACUCCGGACAAAUCUGCAAAUGUCUAAAGGGGGGAAAAUAUAAAAAGAAACCUUAACAACUGAAUUCAAAGAAACAUUAUUACAUUGUAAAUAGCAUUUCACAAAAAAAAUAAAAUAAAAUAAAAUAUACUAAACUAAACUAAUUACACUCGGAUUGCAAUGCUAUCAUUUAAUAAUAGGAAUUCCCAUAACUUAGCAGAAGAUCCUGCAUCUGCAAAGGAUCCUUUAAAACCUAUUUUUUUUAACAACCCCACACCUGCAACACAUCCAGUCAAGGUAAACCAAUAGCACCCUCAUGCAGAGCUCUUCUGUGCAUAUAUACCCCUUAUAAGUAAUCUUAAUCAAUCAGUUAUCAUGAAUAUACAACUUAUAUUAAUUUUCUACAAUAUCCAACACACAAAUAUAACAGAAGAGGAAACUUUUACUUAAGCAGCACAAAAUGAUAUCCUCUGCAUUUCAUUCCAAAAUCCAUCACUCUUAUGUCUUUGCCUGCACAGUUUUUGCUCCAACAUAGCCUGCAAUGAUGAUAUAGCACUAUCAAUAAUUAAGACAUAAAGAAAGGCUAUCCUAGCUAGGUAUUAUGAUUGGAGUAAACCAACAACACCAUAAGUAAAGUAGCAGACCAAAUUUUUUUUAGAAUUGAUGUCUUAACAUGUUUAAGUAGCAAAAAGAUUACAACACAUUGGAUGUGUUAACACGUCCAUAAGCUGAUGACUCCCUCUCCGGUUUACCACAUCAUUCUUAAUGUACUCAACAAUGCAGCAGCAAUUAAAAGUCCUUGGAAAAUGCCAAGCUACUACAAUGACAUAACGAAAACUAUAUCUCACCUUACACCCUUGUUGGCAUAGACAACAUAUCCGUCCUUGUUCGGGGUGAAUCAUAAUCCUGAAUUCAAUUAUCAUCAUCGUCGAGAAUGUCAAACUGUAAAUCAACCAUGCAUGGAACAAAACUUAGAAAUUAAACAAUUAUCAAAGCUUAUGAAGAAUGCUAAACCCAACUAAUUCGAAACAUAAAGUAACCCGAAAGAGAGAAAACUUAUAAAUUUUACAUAAAUUAUAAUCCUUAACAGAAGGAUGGAACAAAACAGGUUCAUUCUUAAGAAUAGAUGUAACUAGUAAUAGGCCUGCGCGCUGCUGCGGGACUUGAAUGCACCAGCCUUAACAACAUGAAUAAGACACAUUUAACAUGAAAAAAAUUCAACAUAAUCAUGAACGAACAAAAAGGAUAGCUGAGUGAACAGUGUUCGUAAGUAAAACAGCUUAGUUUUUAUAUACAUUCAACCAAGCUGAUUACAAAAGAUGUGAUUGUAAAAAAUGUUCUGCUUACCUGAGAAACAAAAGCAACAUGCAUUUUACACAUACAAGACAUCUGAUAUUAAACCUAAAAUCAUGUAAUUCUGUAUGAAGUGGAGAAUAAUGCAGAAAGAUGGUUUUCUAUAGUGCUGCCAAUGACAAUUAAUUUCUCAUGAAAAAAAAGAAAAGAGAAACACAGGUAUAAAAGAAUAUUAUUUUUUAUAGUUGCAAACAUUAUGAAUUCCAAAAAGAAAAACUACAGAUAACACUUCAAUCACAGAUCUAAGCAUCUAAAACGUGGCAACCCAGAUACCAUUCAAGACAUUGCUCAGCAUCAUGGAUAAACUAACCUAUCUGUGUCCCUGUGCUCACUGCAUGUCAUAUACACCCGACCAACUGGGCAUAGGAGCAUAAUGAGGAAAACUUUCAGCACCAUUUUGUACCUGAAAAAUGAGGGAGGAACUAAUUAAAGCGUUCCUCACUUAGAAUAAAUAAUGCAUGCAUAAUAGCCAAAUGGACAUUGCGCAUAUAAAUUGUUGUGGCAAUAACUUGCAAUAGAAAACGUAGUUAAAAAUAAGAUAUACGAAAUACCAACAUUGCAAUGGUAUUUUUUUUUUCCAUUCGAUUGUACUGAAGCAUGCAUCUUAAAUUAGGUACUACGUGAGGUCUCUAUAAUGAAAUGGGAGAUUGAAUACACUUGACGAAACUGAAAAUUCAAAUAUGCACACGCUCCAUAGUGUAUCUUCACAACCAAAAGAAACGUUUAUAUAUACGACAUAUGUUUGACAUUGUUUUUCCCCACUCAAAUCGUCUUGAGAAAAUUUGACUACUAAAAACUACAAAACUUUGAUUAAAGAAUCAAAUAGAAUAGCAUGAGAAAGUUAUUAUUACACCAUACCUGACUUUUUUGCAUAUAAAAACACCUGUAUUUCACCUGAUUUUGUAAUGAAAUACAGAUGCUUGUAGUUCACCAGUACAUAGCUGCCUGUCAUUUGUUGUCUUCUUCGGGUUCAAGAUCCUUAUAUUGUCUGAGACGUGAAAGAAUCAGAAAUUGUAUACAGUUUGAUAAUGAAACAUGUAAUGUGAUUAUGUGACAACAAUGCACUCCUCUCUCUCAGAGAGAUAAACAAAGAUAUCAAAAACAGAGAGGCAAUGUUAAGAUAAACAGAAAGGCAAUGUCACAUUGUUUUGCAUGAUCUUGAAAAUUGGGGAUAAGGUAUUCAAAGUGCUAACAAACACGUGCAAAUGGGGAUAAAAAAGGGGAUAAAUUGAAAAAUAUAUAUGCUCUUAAUCGAGAACUUCAUCAAAUAAACAAUAAAAUCUAAUGUAAUCUGUCCAAAACCAAAGAGAGUGAUAAUUUGGAGGCACUAUAAUGUCUUGGGCAUCGCAUACUUGCGGUAUAUGAUUGAUGCAUCUGUUGCUCAAUCAAAUCAUUUGCUUGGCUAAAAAAGUUAUUUUUACAAUAAAUAGAUUCGCAUCCAAUUUAUGAGAAAUCAUGCAAAAGUAAAUGUAAAUGAUAACGGAAUCAUGAAUGCGAAUAAGAAACACAUACAUGCCAAAAAGAAAACCUACUAUAGUGUGUCAAGUUACUUGCAACAUAAUUUUUUAUGCCAUUAUCCAUUUCGCAAUACUUUAAAAAAAUUUCGUUUGAAAAAGCUUUGCUAUGAUUUUUAGGUUUGGGAAAAAUAAUACCAUAAAAAUUAAAAAACAAUUACUAAAAAUCAUGGCCUGUUAAUAGCAAAAUACACUCCUCAACAAUGUAUAUGAACAUGUGAGUUGAAAAUUUGAAAUAUUCAACAACUAAAAGAAAGAAGCAAAAUCAGAAGAAAAGAAAGAGAUACUCACUCAAAAAUAAAGAUGUAAUAAUGCCAGGCUUCUUCUCCUCGGCAUCCAGAAUUCCAUUGUUGUCUCCAUCUUCAACCUUCAAUGUAUUUAAAAUAUGAAAUGGAAAAAACCCAGAAGAAAUCAUUACAUAAAAUAAAAUUAUCCAAGUAAAAUUAAAGGAUGGAUAGAAAAGAAAUGAAGGCAGUUUAUUCGGACUUAAUUAGAGACUUACUGAAUAAGCUUGAAAUCUAUCUCACACAUCUCUUAAACUUCAACCCCUAUCCUCCUUGCCUCUGUAAUAUGCACACAUAUAGAAAAAGAAAUCGACUUUAGAACCUACAUUGAUACAUAUCUUGUGUGAGUAGGUCUUUCCUGCUUUUCCCCAAUCAUGCAUAUCAAAGAAACGAAAAAGAAGGAAAUCACCCAUAUAUAUAAUACCUUAAGUUUAAAUGCAUCCCAAUUUUGGGUUCCAACGUCACAGAAAGAAUGUCUUAUACAUAAUUUAACAGUACCCCCGACAUCGGUCCAUCCAUUCGUAUUAAUAGUUAUUGUCUGCACAAACCUCAAUUACCUUACAAUCUAUCAUUAUUGACAUAAAGUUCAUACAAUAUGGGACAUCAUGACCUCUCUUUGGCCAGCACCAGUUUUUCCAAAAUGAAAUCAACUAUUACUGCAUUAAUUAUGGGUCCAUCUGGCCAAUUCAUUGAAUUCGCAGACCCAAAAAUUUCACCAAUUAACUGAAUUUACAUACAAAUGGGAGAAGUACAAAAACAAAGACAAUGGCAUAAAUUAUACCAUAAAAAUUACACUACGAAAAAUUUAGAGACCAAAAUCCUUGUUAACAGAAUUUAUUCACAUUAAAAGACACAAUUUCGGUUCAAAAAACUAUCAAAUUUAAACUUUGAUAUCAUAUGAUAAAAUCUUAAUUAAACUCACAAUCUCAAGAAGUUGAAACCAUGUUAAGUAAAAGAAACAAAUUGAAAAAAAUUAAGAUGUAAAUAUUGAUAAGAACAACAAAAGUGGCAAAUACAUUAUACACAGAUAGGACCCUGAAAUAUCGGAACCAGCAGCAACAAAUAGAAUUAAGAAGAAAAAGGAUUAGCAGACUUAAUAAAUGAGAAAUAGGAUAACAGGUACGAACUCAGUUUUUCCACUAUGAAUAAGAGAUCCAGUGGCAUAACCUAACAUUAGGUAGAAUCAAUGCUGGUUGAUUGAAUUUUCAUUCCCUGAAAAUUCAGAAAAUGAUGUGUUUUGAUCUGCAGAUAGAAGCAUUCUAUAUAUAUAAAAAAAAAAUAUAUGGAGACAUGAUGAGGUUCAGAAACCAAACCAUGUCGGUAAAAUCCUCUUGGCAGGUUGCUCAAGGUUGACCUCCUAGCCCUUGGACCAGUCAGGAGACUUGGCCUCCUGCUUUCAAGUUUGGAAGGGAAGUAAAAGGUUCAGCCAAUAAGUAAAAGAAUUGAUUCAGAGGAUAGAAUCAAAAUUUCAAAAAUAUUAUUUGAUGCGAUUAAAACUGUUCCCAAUGAUAAAAUGAAUAAAAAAAUCCAUUGGAAUAAAAGAAAAAGAAUGAUUAAAAUUAUUCACAACCCUUGCUGUUUUUACCUAACCAUUUGUAGGAUCCAUAAAGGGCCAAAAAAAGUUUUUUACUUCUCCUCUAGUCCCAUAAAUUUGGAUUCCAUCUCGUCCAAGCAAACUAACAAUCAUUACUAUACUUUGUUUUAGCAUGCGAACACAAAUCUCAAAAAAAAUAGAUAAUUCAUUUACAAAUUUAAAUUCAAUUUUUAUAUCUCGAUAUUUGUUUGUUAAACUCAAUGAUCAAACUUCAGACUCAUGCCUUCCAAAAAGAAAAGAAAACGAAGAAGAAUUGAAAGCACUUCCCAUUCCAAGGAAAGAGCAGCCAUAAUUAGGAUCCAAAACUCAUUCUUUAGUCUCCUCAUCUGAAGCUAUAUAUAAUCAUUGAACAAAAACGUUUAACGUCCAGCAGAAAGCAAACUGCAAUCAAAAUUUCAAAAAAGCAAAAUAAUGCGCAGAUAAUCGACAGCUGCAACAAACAAAAAAUAGAAAAAUCAAAUGCAGAUUGAAGGAAAAAUCGAGACCGCAAUCGAAACUCAUGCUUGUAUGGGUAAUUAAUUGUAGAUACCAAAUCAUCAAAAACCACUUGUCUACACCAAAUUGCAUACAAAAGAUAUUGGGGCAACUCAGAUUGUGCAAUGAAAAACAAAGUCAAACUACGACGUAGAUGUCUAUCGGAAUUUCAUUCAAAGAAUGAUUAAAUAAAGACAAUGGCAUGCCAAAGAUUAAAUACCCUAAGCGACAGUGUCAGCCAUGAGCUUCCCUCUGUGAGAGCACAGGGGUGUAACUGCAAAAGAAAGCCGGAGACUGAGGGCAAACUGUAAUUUCGUCAAAAAGGAGGAAGUGUACAAAAGAGAAGUGACAGCAAUAAGCGUAGACGCCAAGGACAAAGUAAAUAUGUAUUUGUGAAUGGGGUUAAGCUGCUGCUAGCUUUGUAUAGUGUAAUAAUGCAAUUGCAAAUAGACCAAGUUACUGCUACUAAAAGCUUUUGCAAAAUCAUAAAACUCUUAACAGUUUGAACCCUACCGAAAAGUUUAUAUGAGUUAAAGAACAGUCGUACUUAAGUGCAGCAAGAUCAUAAGCUCUUGCAGCUUCUCCUCCAUAUCAGAACCACCUGCAGUCCAAAUUAACCAAGAUUCAAGGCCAAAGCAAGAACAAAUUAGUGAUAAUUUAAACUAAAGUCCCUAAUUAUUGUUGCAGAGAGAAUUCAUAUCAAGAUUAACGACAUUAUUUGAUUCGAAUGGAAUCCAAACGCAGCAUAAACAUGAAAGGUAAAAAAUUAAUACCAAAAGUCACAUUUAAGCAGCAAUUAAUAGCAUAAAUCAGAUUUUAGUGGCAUGGACCAAAAUAAUUCAGUAAAAAAGAAACAAUCCCAAACAAAUAGAAAGAACUGGAGAAACAAUUCGAAACAAAUCUUCGGAAAGCAACCCCAUCCCUCCCUCACCCUCUCUCUCUCCAAUUCCAACUUCUCCCUACAUCUCUCUGUCUAUAAUAGAUGUGCAGUUUUAUUAAUCUUUGUUGCCGAAGCGUGCAAGAUAGUGAAAAGAUUGUUUAUCUAAGAAAAAAAAGGGCACAUUUUAGAUGGAGACAGAUGGCAUUUAACAAAUUCUUCAUUAGUGGAGUAAAUAAUUUGCAACCACCUAUUUCCUGGUAGCAUUAAAAAAAAAAUUCAAUUUUAAAAAAGAAAUGUACUUUUUAGUUCAAUUUCCACAGCCAUAGUAAUUUAUGUGGACUAAAAUUAAGAUUAACUAAUACAUCCAAUCAACUGCAACUAAACAACUUAUAGUAAUUGAAUCUGUGUUUGUGGAUGUGAGAGAGAGAGAGAGAGAGUUAUCUAUUAUAAAGCCAACCUUCUUUGAAUUGGUCCUCUUAUGGCUUAUUACCAAAACUCUCCAUUGCAUUUGCAGUAAUGCCCUCUGCUUCUCCUCCUGCGAAUUAUCAUUCUGUAAGUAAAAGGUACAAAAACAUCAAUUACUUAAUGGUAGAUAUGUACUUUAGACUUUUGAAGAUCCAAUUCAUCCUGCAUCUUCUCACACUCAUCUUCAUGCUGAAGCUGCAAACCUGUCAGCUCAGCUUCAAGUUCGCUCCUCAUUGAAGUUAUUUUCUAUGAAAAUGAUAAACUGGUUUGUAACGUAAGCAUAUAACACUCUAGUUAAAUUAGUAGUUCCAACUUAAUUCAAAGCUAAAAACGACAUUAAUGACCACAAUUUAAGAAUCCAGAAACAGCCCAAACUAACAACACACACAGAGGACAGACACUGAAAGACAUAUUUUUUUAGAGAACCUAACUAAAAAUUAAAAACAAACCAAGUAAAAUUUUCAGAGUUUAAAAACAGGAAACCAUUACAAUCUUUACAGAAACCAACUAAAAUUGGAAUCUGAAAAAAAAUCCGCUCAAUUUUAACAGCCCUGCUGCAUAUAUUGGGUUUUUUUAGGCAUGAGACAACACAAACGAAGAAAACAUAACAUAGUUGUAAACCUUAGGCUCCAAUCAGGUCAAGUGUGAGAUUUCAAACACGGAGAUUUACUCCAUGUUUAAAAACUGCCAAAUACAUUGCCAACUGUUAAGAGUAUGAACUACAAAUCUAUAAAGUAAAAAGACUUGCAGAUAAGUUUAAACAAUCAACAUUCAACUUAUGAUUGUUACUGUUUUUUAGCUGGAUGUUCACAUUCUAAUAAGGUAUUAAAAGAGAUUAUAAGCGUGUGUGCUCUUAAACCACCCAACACCAUGUAUUAAUCAAAUAAUUAACAUCUAAAGAUGGAGACAUGAAACACGAAACCUGCAAUUAGAUCCCAAUCACAAAAUGCCAAAAAAAUCCUAAUCUAACCAUCCCUAUACUAAUAGCCCAUUCGAGCAGCUAUUAGCACCUAACCCGCUACUUUGGCAACCCACCAACCCGCCACACCGUCAUGUCCCAUCCCCUCUCCACCACUCACUAUAUCUCUCACCUUUCUUUCUUGACAUUUCGCUCGGUGCACACAAACACCAAGCCAACCAUUGCCGGCCUUUGUCUAAAAGUGGACAAAAUCCCAUAGGUCCUGGCAGAGGACCUAGCUAAAUCUCUCUCCCACUCAGUCGAAACCCGUAGCUACCAUUUCUCUCCAAUCUGUCAGUCUCUCUGUCCCCCUCUUCUCCUCCCCCCAACAACCCUCUGACCGAUGCAUCACCCACAGCCACACCCACCCGCACCCGAGUCAAAAAUCCCAACGAUCCUCUCCCUCCAACCCGUCAACAAAUUAUGGAUUCCGAGAAUGUAUCUUGAAAACUCAGAUGCACAUGAUUAAAAUUAGUAGAUAUUAAGGACGUGUACUUAACAGAACAACACGAAGAACGAAUGAGUACAUUACAAACUAAAUGACCGUGUCAGCUAGAUACUUCUUAAAGAACACCUCUAAUCUACCAGUAUGAUUACUCAGUUUUUGGUUUUUAAAUUAAUACCCUAAACCUUACAUUCAAACUCAUUUCGAAUGCAAACAAAAGUAAAUGAUAAGUCCCGAGCUUUUCUUUCUAGCCUCAACUCAACUCAAGUUCCCAACCUUCACCUUCCAAUACAAAGAAACUAACGCAUCAAUCUGCAAUUUCGCAAACAUAUAAUUCAACUAACCAAGUUCUGUGUCCACUCAAAUGCACAUAUUUGAGCUCAAUCAAACUUAAAUUUGAAACAAAUAGUGAUGAAAGAUCAAACAUUUAUACCUAGCUUAGGAUCCGAACCAAUCUCCUCUUUCGCCUCCCUCGUCGCCGUGUCCCCAUCGUCCUUGUCCCCCUCCUCUGUUUUCCCACCCGGCAAAGAAACUUCACCUGCAGAAACACAAAACCAAAAAUUAAAAAACCAAUCUUUCCCAUUUCCAUUUUUAUCAAUUUCCUCAAUUUUUCCCAUUUCCAGAAAAAUGAGCAAGAAGCUUAAGCAGGAAAAAAAUCAUAAUUUCAACAACCAAAACCCAAUACCCGUUUAAUCAUACACGAACGAAAAAUCUAAACACAGAGUCACAGAUUAACGAACUGAAAACCCAAAAAAAAUAAAGGAAACUGACCUUACUUAAGAACAAUACAUAGAACACAGAGAAACGAAACAAAUAAAGGAACCCCCAAAACCAAAUAAAGGAACCCUCAAAACCUGACCUAACAGUGCAACAAAAUCUGGAAAUAAUUCACAGCAAAAAGGCAGAAAUGAUGACAAUCUAUGCUAACAGUAAAGAAUCGAAUUAAAAAUUGAACUUAGCUUUUGAAAUCCAGCCACUCAUCCGACAUGCAAAAGGGAACGGAUGAUCGAGAGUGAAUCAUGGACUGAGGGACCUUACUCGACCCAUCAUUGGAGCUACGUUUGUAGCUUUUGGGGAGAAAAAAAUUGAAUGUGAAAGCUGCUUUUGAUGUGGCCAUUAAGGUGGUGCUUCAGCAACCGAAGCAAAAGAAGAAGAGGCAGAAAAAUGUGAGUAUUCCAUGAAGAAAAAAAAAAGGUUAAAAAAUCACUAAAAAGAAAAGGCAGAAAAAUGCAGGGUAUUCCAUGAAGAAAAAUUCAACAAUUAAAUAAUAUAGCUGUAAACCUUAGACUCCAAUCAGGUCAAGUGUGAGAUUUCAAACACAGAGAUUUACUUCAUGUUAAAAAACUGCUAAAUACAUUGCUAACUGUUAAGAGCAUGAACUAUCUGUAAAGUAAAAAGCCUUGCAGAUAAGUUUAAACGAUCAACUGUCAACUUAUUAUUGUUGCUGGUUUUGAGGUGGACGUUCGUAUUCUAACAUGGUAUUAAAAGAGAUUAUAAGUGUGUGCGCUCUUAAAUCAGCCAACACCAUGUAUUAAUCAAAUAAUUUAUAUCUAAAGAUUGAGACAUACAACAUGAAACCUGCAAUUAGAUCCCAAUCACAAAAUGCAAUAAAAAAAUUCCUAAUCUAACCAUCCAUAUACUAACAACCUAUUCGAGCAGCUAUUAGCACAAUUUACCUCCCUCUCUAUUCUUCCCCACCCCCUCUUUAACCAAAUAAAAACUCAUUUGUCUCACUAAAUAAAAACCUCAAAUUUGUUUUUUCAAAGCUGCAACAACAUCACUAAAAACACCAUGUAAUAAAAAUUUAAAAAAACCAAUCCAAUUUAAGUCGAGAAGCAAAUGACCAAACCUCCUAUUUUGAGGAAACAUUUUGCAUUCAAACCUAAAAUGCUUGCCUGCAAAGAAGGAUUAAAUAGCAAAGCAGACUUUCGGGGGAAAUAAAAAAAACAGACUAUUUAUAAUACAAUAAAAAUAAAGUAAUUCAUCAUCCCCACCAUCUCUGUGAGCUUUAACAGAACAGAGGAAUCAAAUUAAGCAAUAUAUAAAUUUAAGUUGACAUUCCAGUGUUCUACCUCUAACCUUGGUAGCAUGCAUGCACUGUAAGUUAUAAAGUGAAUUAAGCCAAGAUCUUCUAACUUCAUGAUUUUCACAUAUGCAUUAGAUGGAGAAAUACAAUAAAUAAUCAAAUAUGUAAGACUCUGAUAUUCAAAACCAAACAAACCCAAUUACACUUUUAGUUCACUAACCCCAUUGAAUAAAAUCCAAUUCAAUAAAAUAACAGAAAAUUAAACAACCCAAAAAUCAAAACAACCCCACUUGUAGUUUUAGCUCACUAAUCCGUUGGAUAAAUAGAUGCCAAAUUCAAUCAGAAAACAUACAAUUAACAACAACCCAGAAGAGCCAUCCGAAAACCCAACCAAUUAACCAAAAAAUACCACUUGUUCUUUUAGCUUAGUAACCAACCUCUACUUGUUUUCUGGCAAAUUUGGGGUCCUUUGAUUUCUAGACUUUCAGUAGAAACUGAUUAUACCAUGGGCUAAUAUUCAAGUACCACAAAAUAUAAUUUUACCGUAGUAAGCUUUUUGAUUCACUCCAAACGAAGAUAUUAUAUGUUCACAUAUAUAUAUUCACAACCAUAAAAAGAAGAACUUAUCUCUGGCAUUUUAAUAAAAAUAAAAAUAAAUUAUUCACCCACAGUAAAAACCGAAACAGCUAAAUUAAACCCAAAAAUUAAUCAUGAUCAUACAUAUGUAUUCCUGACAAAUGUUUAGCCCUUUAAUUAAAACACUAAAAUAAAAAAUUGCUCACCCACAGUAAAAAACCGAAACAUGCAAACCAAAGCCCAAAAUUUAAUCAUCACUAUUACUUUUUUUUUUUUUGGUGUUUUUAAGUUUCAGGGAAAAAUGGAAGCACAAACAAUCAAAAAACCCAAACAAAAAGAAAUUAACACCAAAGAGAUAAAUUAUAUACCUGACCCAGAAAAAGCUUGGAAGCUCACAUAAUGAAACCCUAAAACUCGAAGAAGGAUGCUUCCUGCAAACCAAAUACAAAAUCAGACUCUCUCUCUUAGAAAGAGAGAAGUUAUCAAGUCCUGUACUUGGUUAUAUUUGUUCAAGUUAGGAAAAAUCGAGUACAGGGUUGGUACCUGGAGCUUGAGAAAUCAGAGAGCUUGCCUGUUUGAGAAAAGAUGAUAACAACAGCUUCAGAUUCACACAGAAAACGUACAAAAAACGCACAACAUGCUCUCUGCCCUCUCUCUCUCUCCCUCCCUGUCCAUCCGUCCCUCAAAAAGUGGGAAAAAAAAUCUCCAAACGUCUCUCCCACUCAUGAAAUCGAGGAUCUGCAGCAAUGGCGCUGAGGUCGCCACUCCUCCCUCUCCCUUUCUCUGUCGCUCUGUCUCUGUCUCUGUCUCUGUCUCUGUCUCUCUCUAUCGAAGGCAUGGCCUUUCAUCCCCGAAACCCUCACUGAAUGACAGCAAACCCAAACCCACCCCAAUCCGUCUCAAACACACAGGACAAAAUUGCCCUUCCAACCCAGCCCCAAUACCAGCCCAAACCUUACGGUUUUGUUGUAAAUAGCGUGAAAUCGAGUGGCUCCCUGAUAAGCCAUAUGGACAAAAUUACCCUCUGAAAUUUUGAGAAUCACCCUCCCAACCCACUCCCAUUCGGCUGGUACUGUUGUAAAUAAAGCAAAAUAAAAACAAACGUGAAUAGUGCCUGCCCUCCCCCUACUUUAGUAUAGAUAAUUUUGCACAUUGCAUAUAUGUAGAUUAAGGACGGUGGUAACAUACCUUGUAAUUUGUACAAAUUAGGAUUUUCAUUCAAAGAACUAUAAUAUACACAAUUACAAAAAAAGUGAUUCAAACUUGUUCUUCUCUUAAGGAAAUUACUCACAGUUGAAAUUCUGAAUGGAUGAAGUUUUGGCUUCCCUUUCCGACUAUAUUUGAUUAACCUUUUUUUAAUCCAAUGAGUGCCUUCAUGAGAGAGAGAGAGAGAGGAAUAUUAGGUGAAAAGUAUUGCCAAAUCACACAGAGAUCAAAAUCUUGAAUAUAUAUGUUUAACCAUGUCAAAGUGAGUGUGUAAAGGGUGUAGUCUGCAGAAAGGGCAACAUUUUCACUGCUAGAAAGUUGGAAACUAAACUUUUACACAGAUAUUGGAUUUUAUUAAUUCCCUUCGCGAAUUGAAAAGCAAAUUGUUCGAGUAAUGCAGGUAAAUUCGAUAUACAUAUGCGUUGAUCUAUGUGACGGUUAUAAGUUAUAACUGUAUUGUCUUAACGCAAAAAUGAUCAUAAAUGUAAGUGUCUGUAUUAUGGAAGUAAGGGACUUACAGCAAUUGCUAUGAGCUUUAACAGCAGUCACUCCAAGUACCUUAUUACGGAAGUAAGGGACUUACAUCAAUUGCUAUGAGCUCUACCAGCAGUCUCUCAAAGUGGUGCAAGGGCUAAAAUUAUAAAUAAAAAGUAAUUUAAACAAUUUAACUUAAUAAAAUAUUGUAAUUUAAACAAUGCCUAUAUAUUCAAACAUCCCAAAACAGGAAUGAACUUCUAGAAAACAUGCGCAUGAAAAUAAACGGCAUUACUCACCCAUUGAGUUGGACCAUCAAACUGGAGCGUAAGAAGGAUCAUCAUGUACCUAUGAAACCCAAAGGAAAAUUUUAGCAACCCCAAAGCUUGUAUGCAAGCGUGAAUAAGUAUGCGUGUAUGAAUCUAUUCAUAGUGAAGAAGGCUACCUUAAGAAAUAUUUGCAUCUGCAGCUUCAUAUGGCCAUACAACAAAAAGCAUCGCAUAUGAUAACAAACCCCAGCUGCACCACAAAAGGAAUAUGAUCUUCCUCUCGACUUGUAUUUGCAGUUGUUACUGUAACAUCUGCAGACAGCAUACAUAAGCACUGAUUCGAUAAUUCUAAAGGAAAAAAAGUUCUUAUUCGAUAAUGCACCAAAUCCUAUCCAAAAACCAAGGGGGUGCCAUAUCCCUAGAUUAACAGAGCAUCUUUCUUUGUUCCAAAACAAAUUGCAAUUGGCUUUGGUAAAGUAGAAAGAUUACCAGAUACCGACUCUGUUCCAUUAUUCGACUGUCCUUUUAGUUCUAUCUCUCAACAUGGGAAAUACAAUAAGACAGUAAAGACAAAAGUUAGUGAUGCUAUUACAUAGUGAAAGAAAAUAAGACAUUCACAUAUUGAUAGCUAUUUACUGUCCUUUCUCAUCAUAAUCUUGGCCCCAAUAUAUAUACUGAAUUUUGAAUGCAAUGAGAGAAAUAUACCUUUGGGGCGUCAAUGCCAGAAGAGUGAGUGAGGGAUCUAAGAUGUUUGAGAGCAGGAAUUUUUAAGUAAUUUGUGUGAAAAAGUUGAAGAGCUUCGAACAGAGUGGAGUGGGUUGGCCUGGGCUAAAAUAAAGAGGAUGAACUCUAGAAAGUAGAAAAUGUUGUUAUUCAACCAAACUCAAAAGUAAAGAAACCAUACAAUUAACAUAUAAAUAAGUUUUAUAUACCAAUGUUUACAUGUACGUUGUUUGAGAAGGUAAAUUAGCAACAUAUACAGUGAUCAAAAGAUUAACAGCAAUAAACUGCUCAUUAUUCGAAAUAUACAUGAAAGUUGUCAUUCACAUGAUCCAAAUGGUAGAGGACAAAACAGAAGGAAGCAAAUAUUAUAGCAGCAUAAGUUGAAUAAUUGCAGCAAGUAAACAAAUAGAAAGGCUAGCUAGAUUACACAAUCCAGUUCUAGGUCGGACUAACCAUGUUAGCCAUCCGCCCACCACCAGCACCGUCGGCUUCUUAUUAAAAAUGUAGAAUAGAAGACUCAAAAACUGGAAAUGAAAGCAGGUAACAUUGAGUUUUAAUAACCAAAAAGGGACAUUGUUUAAGCAGCUCCAUAGCAGCAAUUAUACUUGGACGAUGAGCUGCAAAAACAGAAAAGAAAACACAAAUUAAACUAAAAAAAAUAUAAAAUUUAGCACUAAUCCAGGAUUAAAUAUAAAAUAUAAAGUCAUUAGGAUUGGGACCUUUGCAUUGAGGAAUAUCUACUACAUUAUGAGUUCCCUCCUGACAGUGGCGGAUCCAGGAUUUUAAACUCGGGGGGUCUCAAUAAUAAAGGUCAAAAAAUUUAUACACAAAAACAACAUUGAAAAUUUAAAUAUAAUACAUUUCAUUCAAAAAUCAUAUGCAAAACAAUAUUACAAAUUAUAAAAUCAUAAUUCAAGCGUCCAUUACAAGGUUUCAUAAGUUACUACCUAAGUUAUUGAUUAUCUAAUAUGGACCACUAAAUUUAAAACACCAGUCAAAUAAAACUCUUCCCAAACUCCCACUAUCUUUCUAACCAAACACACCAUUUUUCUCUUUUACUAGUUUCCAAACAUCCACUUUCUCUCUCACUAAGAACACAGCUGCCAUACCUCCACCAACCACCUCCCUCCCCAUUCUCCCGAAGCCAUGGCAGCUCCACCCCCAAAUUUCACCAACCCAUGACAGAUCAUAUCCAUCUUACUAACCUUAUGCAGGAAAUUUCACCCAUAACAAAAAUUACUAAGGUGGUUGAAAUAAUUUGGGGAAAUUUGGGCUUAUGUACUGCCCCGCCAGACGACAGAUGGAGGAGAAGUGGGUGGCACCGAUGGAUGAGACCAUGGCAGAAGCAAGGAGAGAGGCUGGAAGGGUCCCUAUUUUCUUUCUUCUCCGUGCGCGGUCAUCUUCUCCGAGAAGAAGACAGCCACUGCAACCUACAACCUGCACAGACCUCAUGCUCGAGUACGAGGGGUCCCCGGAAAAUUUCUAGCAGCGAUUUAGGAUCGCCGACGGGUCCUGGGACCUCCCAGGUCCCUAUGUAUGCAGGAAAACCUAAGGUUCCUCCUUAGGUUUUUCGAUGUACCAAACCCGAAUCCGCCGUCCUUUUUCCAAAAUUCUAACGUUUUCAUAGAGUUUUAUUAAACGACCUUUAAUUGUGUUUAGGUGCAUCGGUGGAAGUGACCUCAUUCUUGAUGGUUCGAGCGGCUUUCGGGCAAUGGAAAACUUGUGAGUGGACCCCUUCUAAACUUAUAUAUUGUUAUAAAAUAUUAGCCUAGCAUGCAUUCCAUAUUUCAUGAUUUGAAUAUGAUUUAUAAUAUGCUUUAUGGACUUUUAUAAUUAUGGUUUACGAAAUAGUUUGAUUUAUCGAAAUUACGUUUUAUUAGGUAUUGAAUUAUUGGAUUUACAUAUAUGGAUUUCUAUGGUUUUCAAAUACGAUUUAUAUUACGGUUUUACGAACAUGAAUUGUUUUAUGGAUUUCAUGAAUACAAUUUAUCUUGGAUUUAUGAGAUGAGACUUUGAGCUAGUGAGCUCCGGGUUUGAUAUGAGUUUUGAGAUAUGUUUUUGGUACUUAAUCUAGUGGGUUAUCAUACGGCACAUCCGCACACCACGGGUAUAGAUGUGUAUGGCCAUAGGACACAGAUGAUGAGGAGGAGUAAGAUAUGAUAUAUUGUAUACCCCCAGUUCACUGUCGAAAGCAGUGUCAGAUAACUUCACUAGCCAUGGCUAGUGUCGGUAUGGAUGUUAUGCUAUUUCAUACAGCUUCACCUUCGGGUGAUAGACAGUUAUUUAGCUUCACCUUCGGGGUGAUGGACAUGUACUACCUUCGGCCAACUAUAAUAGCCUUAGUUGAGUACUUCACUGACAAGAUUUACAAAUUUGCCUUUGGGCGACGACAUUUUCAUUAUCAAGCACUGGAUUUUACAUAUCUACCUUCUAAAUGGAUUUUCAUGGCAUGCUAGGGUUUUUCAUAAAGCCUAUAUGUAGUAUUAUAUAUGUUUUCAAAAUAAGGGGUUAUUAUGUUCAUAAAUAAAAUGUUUUCCUAUUAUUAGUAUUAUUAAUAUAAACUUUGGUCCACUCACCUUUUCAGUUUUUGCGCCUCCUCAGGAGUUAGGAUCGAGGCACAUGAUCCCGGCAUCAUGGCAUGUUGAUAUAGGUAUCCUUGAAUCUUCUUAGUGUAGGUAUCAUUCCCUUAUUCAUAUCUUUUUAUAGUGAUUCUUUCCUAUUAUUUCUAAUUAGUUGUAUGCUCUGAACAAAUUCCUGCUUUGGUAUAAUCGUUAUAACUACUUAUCUUGUAAUUGUUUGCAUGUUUAAAAUGGUUUCGUCACCUUUGGGCGUGGGCUAGCACGUGCCUACCCUGGUAUGUUGGGGUAUCGGGGUUGGGGCGUGUCAAAGAUAGAGAGUGAAUUUCUAGCAGAUUCAAUGGUUGUCUACAUUUUAAAAAGAGCUUGCCGAAAAGAUUGAUUCAGAUGAAAUAACAAAGGAUUUCAAUUCCAUUAAGGAUUGAAGGGCACAACUUGAAUAGGUAUUUUUCUUUUUAUUUGUUAGGUUGUUAUGACAAGAUUGACGAUGUAUGUUUCUUUAUAUUGUAAGUUGCAACUUUAAAGGUUUUCUUCGUUAAAUCUAGUUGAAACUUGAUUCAUUUAGAGUUAAAUUUCUUACUUCAAAUUGUUGCUUUUAGGCUUAUUAUUGUGUAACUUUAUGCAAGCAACAAAAAAUUUUAACCAUUUGAUUUUGUACUAAUAAUUUUAGCUUAGCAUGCCACCAAAUAAUUCAUGUCUCCGCUAUUGAAAUCUUAGCAUGUGCAAUUUCAAAGUCUCGGUUGCCAAGUCUCCCCAGGCUGUUCAGCACCCAUUCUGAAUCUUGAUCGAGAUCUAGAGCAGUGCAAGUCAAGGAGUCUUCAUUCUCAUUUGAAACAAUGCUAAAAUUAUACCUCAGCUUGGACUCCUUGGGCAAAAUAUACCCAAAUGUAUUAAUAAUUUAAUACUACUUGUGGAUGCACCACUAGUCCAAAAAAAUCACCUCUCCUUUCUUAAUCUUCAAUUGGUGAGGGUCCCAAUCAAGCGUGAAAGGCCCCGGCGCACGGUUGGCUUUAGUUUCCCAUGAUGAAAUCGACGAAACGUGGCCAUUUGUACGGUUGACACCCAAUUUCAUGCCCGGCAAAAAGGUGUCAACUGGUAAUCAAAGCUUUACGUUCACUUCUUCUUGUACAAAAUUUCCCGAAUCCAAAAGGAUAGCCACAACAGUAGCAAUACUGUUACUUAUGUUGGUAGACCUAGUAGUUUGUGGAGCUGAGAAAAACACAAUUGGAUUAGGAUCCCUCCCGCAUAAUUUUCAAGGUUUUAUUCCUGUCCAAGGCAAGAGUGCGUACAAAAUAGGGGCUUUACGGUUGCAAAUCCAAGCAAUGUUGCCAUCGGCCUUGUUGCUCUGGAUAGAUACGUAGCUGGUGCUUUUGGAACUGUCGUCGUGUACACAGGAACUGAAACUGAACUUCUCCGAUGCAGAGACCAAAGAACUUGAGGAGUUGAGAGUGUCUCCUGCUGGUUUCAGUGUGUCCUUGCACUUGCAGCAUUGUGACAGGUCCACAGUCAGCAUGCAAAAAUGAUUAAGUUGAUUAUUGCCAUGAUUAAUUAAUGACCAUAACAUGAAGUUUAAUUUCUCCAUAUGAUGAGGAAGAAAGACAUGAAAUCCAUCACCAGAACAUGAUUAAGAAUUUAAUCAAGCAACGCGUCUUAGUUAAACCAUUACAAUCAUUGUACAAGGCAUUUAUAAAUUAAAAAAAAGGGAAUAAAGUAAUAAUUGUUAGAAUAAGAAGAAAAUGUAGUACAACAAUGGAGGAUAUGCUGCAAUGACUAGAGUGAGAGAGAGAGAAAGAAGAGAGCAGAGAAUAUGACACUGCAAUUCUUUUCACACGCAUUGUUUGAUUGCUCACUUAGUGAGAGAGGAACAUCUCUCUACACUUAACAGUUACACUUCCAAACUUUUGGCAGUAUUCAAAAUUACAUCCAAGUAAUCCUAGCCAUCCAUCUUACACCCUAUGAGAUGAAGACACAUGUACACUCACUUACUUAAGAACUAUGAGACUUAGAUAAGAAAGCAUACAACCAAUUUAGCUAAUCAUCCUAGCAAUAUAAGCUAGAAAUACAACUACCACAUCAGAUCACAAUUUACACACUAACAGCCCCCUUUAAAUUGUGAACUGAUUUAACUCCAAGAAGUUCCCUCAGAUAACUGAAUUGUUCUCUUGCCAAUGCCUUUGUAAAGAUAUCAGCAAUUUGGUCUUUCGUAGGACAAUGCAACAGCUCAAUUACUCCUUGCUGCAAUGCUUCCUUUAUGAAAUGGUAUCUCCUGUUGAUGUGCUUGGUCUUCUGAUGAAAAAUAGGAUUUUUAAUGAUAGCUAUGGCUGAAGUAUUAUCACAAUUCAUUGGUGUUGCAACUAUUUGCAUUUCACCAAAGUCCUCCAAAACAAAUCUCAGCCAUGUAGCCUGUGCAGUUGCUUCAGAUGCACUAAUGUACUCUACUUCAGCUGUUGAUAAUGCAACACAUUGUUGCUUGACUGAAGACCAAGAGAAAACUCCACUGCCAAAGGUAAAUGCAUACCCCGAUGUACUUUUCAUAUCAUCUUCUGAACCGCUCCAGUCACUGUCACAAAAUCCCAUUAAGAUUGCUCCUUUGCCUUUCUUGUAUUCCAAGCCAAAAUCAAGAGUCCCUUGAACAUAUCUUAGUACUCUCUUUGCUGUCCCAAGGUGCUUGUUGGUUGGACAGUGCAUAAACCGUGAUAGCAGACAUGCAACAUACAUUAUAUCAGGUCUAGUUGCUGUGAGAUACAGCAAACUGCCUACAAUUUGUCUAUAUUGAGCUUCAUCCGUAGUCCCACUUCCAUCCUCUUUUCUCAAUUUAUCACUUGGAACCAAUGGAGUACUCACUGACUUACAGUCUUGAAGUCCAAAUUUCUUCAGUAGAGAAGAAGCAUAUUUUCUCUGAUGAAUGAAAAUAUACUCCUCAGUUUGCAUUACUCCCAUACCAAGAAAGUGAUGUAAGAGUCCAAGAUCAGUCAUUUCAUAUUUGAGCAUCAUAUUAGAUUUAAAGUCAUCCAUCAAUUCCUGACAACUUCCAGUGUAUAUUAUGUCAUCAACAUAGAUAGACACUAUAAUCAUUUCUGAACUUUUCCUCCACUUGGUAUACAGAGUUGCUUCGCUAGUGCUUUUCUUAAACCCACAGAGUGUAAGAUAUGAGUCUAUUUCACCAUACCAGGCCCUUGGUGCCUGCUUCAGACCAUACAGUGCUUUAUGUAACCUGUAGACCUUAUCUUCUUCCCCUUGUACAAUAAAUCCAUCCGGCUGAUCAACAUACACUUCUUCUUCUAGUACACCAUUCAAGAAUGCCGAUUUUACAUCCAAUUGAAACAACUUCCAUUUGUUCUUUGCUGCCAGGGCAAUUAAUGUUCUGAUUGUAUCCAACCUUGCCACAGGUGCAAAGGUUUCAUUAUAAUCAAUUCCGGGCUUUUGUGCAUAGCCUUUUGCAACAAGCCUAGCCUUGUUCUUUUGAACUGAUCCAUCCAAAUUCAAUUUAGUUUUGUACACCCAUUUCACACCAAUCACAGGUUUAUCAGAUGGUCUUUUCACUAAUUCCCAAGUCUUAUUUUUCUCAAUCAUGCUGAUUUCAUCUUUCAUAGCUUUCUUCCAUGCUUUAUCCUGUGCAGCUUCAUAAUAGGAUUCUGGUUCAACAAUACACAUGACAUCUUUCAUAGAUUUCACUCAAACUUCUAUAUCUCAAAGGAGUAUGAUCAAUCUGAGAUGCAAAAAUUGAGUCACUAGCACUUCCAGAUUCAAUGAGUGGAGAAUCUGUAAGUUGAGUCUGAGAACCUUCAGCAACAGCUUGUUCCAUGGAAUCCGAAUCCUCAUCAGCUUCUUUCAUCUCUGAAGAUUCACUUGCAGCAAUUGGAAUGUACACUUCUUUGAUCUUCUAUCUAUCCCAAUCCUAUGUACCAUUCUCAUAAAAAAUAACAUCUCUUGAAAUGAUUACUUUCUGAUUUUCAGGAUUAAGCAAUCUGUACCCCUUUUCACAAGUGCCAUAUCCAAUAAAAAUACCAAUGACACUUGUUUCAUCCAGCUUCUGUCUCAGGUUUCCAGGAAUAAGGGAAUAACCUAAUGAGCCAAACACUCUCAAGUGUUGAAUUCCAGGUUUUCUUCCACUGAAUUUCUCAAAAGGUGUCACAUUUUCCAAUACUUUUGUAGGACAUCUAUUUAGCAAGUAGACAGAUGUAACUACAGCUUCACCCCAAAGACUAUAAGGAAGACCUUUCUCAUGAAGCAUACACUUUGCCAUCUCCACUAUAGUUCUAUUUUUUCUCUCUGCAACUCCAUUCUGUUGUGGAGAGUAUGCAACAGUAAGCUGCCACUCCAAACCCAAAGCUUCACAAAACUGUUCAAAUUCAUUUGAGGUAAAUUCUUCUCCUCUAUCUGUUCUCAAUUUCUUCACUGAAAAACCACUUUGAAGUUCCACCAUAGCUUUGAAUUUCUUGAAUACAUGAAAGACAUCUGACUUGUGUCUCAAGAGAUAUAUCCAGCACAUCCUCGAAUAGUCAUCAAUGAAUGUAACAAAGUAUCGAUUUCCACUUAUGGUUGGUGUUUGCAUAGGGCCACACACAUCUGAGUGUAUAAGUUCCAAUGGCAUUCUUGCUCUCCAGAUUGACUCCCUUGGAAAGGACACUCUAUGAUUCUUACCAAAUGCACAUCCCUGACAUACACCUUCACUGUCAUGCAUUUCAGGUAACCCAAGAACCAUAUCAUGCUCCUGCAAUUGUUGCAAACUUCUAAAAUUCAGGUGGCCAAACCGUUUAUGCCACAUUGUACUAUUCUGAUGCACAUUGGUUUUCAGUACCAAAUGAUCGUUUGACUUGAACACAAGUGGAAAGCAUCUGUUCCCCUUUUGUUUCACACUAACCACUAAAUUUGUCAGAGUUCUAUCAUAAAAAAUAUCCACCUUAUAAUCACCAAAUAACAGAAAAUACCCAUGUUCAGUCAUCUGCCCAACACUGAGAAGGUUUUCUGCAAUUCCAGGUACUAACAUAACUUCUCUUAUGUACCUUUUUCCUUUAUCCGUGUCAAUGACCAAGGUUCCUUUGCCUUUCACAUCAACAAGAACCCCUGUGCCAACUUGCACUUUUGCUUUAAUACUUCUAUCAAUUUCCACAAGUAACUCCUCUCUGGAAGUCAUGUGAUUACUGCACGCACUGUCAAUAUACCAGGCAUCACUCACAGCUUUCACUUCAGUUGAUUGCUUGACCAUGAAGAGAUUUCCAGGUUCCAGGUUCUCCCACCUUGUUUCUAAAAUUUCUUUGCUCUCCCACUUUGUCUGCAAAAUUCCCUUGCUGAGCAUUUUUGUUUUGAUUGCAGAUCCUAGCAAUAUGACCAGGUUUUCCACACUUGUGACAUUUAAUCUUCCCUUUUAGCCAACAUUCACCAUAGUGAAGUUUAUCACAGUAUUUGCAUGCCCCUCCAGUGUUGUUAGCUUCAUUUCUUACACUUGGAGUAAACCUGUUAGUCCACUGCUUCCCUUUGAACUUGAAGUUCUUCUGAUAUUUUGAUCCACCAGUAUUGGUAUGUUGAUUACCAAAUUUACUAUUCUUAGAUGAGAUAUAUAUCUAAGCUAGCAAAUGCACGUUCUGUGCUACUCUCUUCAUGUCUGAUUAAUCUUAGUUCAAACCCUUUCAAUAUGGCAACCACAUCUUGUGCAUCAAUUACAUCAAUAUCUUUAGUAUUUUCUAUAACAGAAGCAAUGCUAUCAUAUGUUUUGGGUAAACUGAUCAAUAACUUUUGCACAAUUCUCUGAUUACUAAGAUCUUCUCCAUAGCUUCGCAUCUGAUUUAUCAGAUCAAACAACCUAGCUAAAUAUGCAGCUAGAGAUUCACUUUCACUCAUACGGGUAUAUUCAAAAUCACGACGCAGACCUUGUAAUUUCACAGAUCGUACCUGUUUGUCCCUACACAUACUCUUGCUUCAGAAUAUCCCAAGCUUCUUUUGCAGUUUCCAAGGUUGCAAUGCGUGGAAAAAUUUGAUCCGAUACGGCUCCCUGAAUGAUUCCAAGAGCCCUUGCAUCCUUGACCAGAUUUUCACUCCGCAACUUCGUUUCCACCUCAGUGAGUUCUCCUUCCCCUUUCGCUGAAGUGGUAAAACCUUUUUCAACAAUAUUCCAUAACUCGUGAGAUCGGAAGAUUGUUUUCAUUCGAAUCUACCAGAAAUCGAAAUUUUCUCCGUUGAACACCGGAGCUCGAAGCUCCCCUCCACCAGAUCCAGCCAUGUUAGACUUAGAUCACACCUCUCUCUACUAUUUUCUUUGCAACGAUGUGUUGCAAACACUUGCUCACUAUCUCUCACAGAAUCGACGCCCAGAGAUUCAGACCCAACAAGGCUCUGAGGCCAUGUUAGAAUAAGAAGAAAAUGUAGUACAACAAUGGAGGAUAUGCUGCAAUGACUAGAGUGAGAGAGAGAGAAAGAAGAGAGCAGAGAAUAUGACACUGCAAUUCUUUUCACACGCACUGUUUGAUUGCUCACUUAGUGAAAGAGGAACAUCUCUCUACACUUAACAGUUACACUUCCAAACUUUUGGCAGUAUUCAAAAUUACAUCCAAGUAAUCCUAGCCAUCCAUCUUACACCCUAUGAGAUGAAGACACAUGUACACUCACUUACUUAAGAACUAAGAGACUUAGAUAAGAAAGCAUACAACCAAUUUAGCUAAUCAUCCUAGCAAUAUAAGCUAGAAAUACAACUACCACAUCAGAUCACAAUUUACACACUAACAAUAAUUACAAGUUUUACACAAGUGACCAUUUAUUACAAUGGUGGAAAGGUGUUAAAAGCUUUUGCAUGACGGUGUGAGUUCGAACCUCGUCGGUUGUUAAUCUACAAACCCCGUCGGUAGUUAAUCUAACUUCUAAUCUAAUAAAAUCUAUUUUUUGACCAAAAAAAAAUAAUUACAAGUUUUACUAAAAAUUUAGGGGUGUGAUAUCUACACACCCCUUUUUACUUCUCUCACAUCUUUUUGAUUUUCGACCGUCGGAUCGGAUGAAUUGAAGAAGAUCAACGGACAGAAAUUAAUAAGGAUGUGUGAGAAGUAAAAAAAGGUGUGUAGAUAGCACACCUCAAAAUUUACCGGAAGACUUGAUCACCCAUUUGUAUGCUGACAACGGUGACUAGAUUCACAACCUCUUUCCCACGUAAAUCACAUCAUCCAAUUUUAUUUUUCUUACAACAUAUCACGUAUCUGUCAUAUGUAAGACUUUUUUGGAAUAUGGAGCGUGAAAUUGCAGCGGAAGCAUCCUAGAUUUUUGAUCGAAUAUUGAGUUUGGUUUCAUGACAGACUUCCUGGAUCAAACACACCCUAAAAAAAUAUAUAAAAAACCAAUAAGGUCAUGGUGAUACGACAUCAUUUUAAGAGGAAAGGUAAAAACAAUCUAGUUUCUAUACUAGGAAGAUUCACUCGAACAAAUUCUUGGAAACUAUGACUCAAACAAAAUUCUAGGAAUUCAGUAUUUUUAACAAAUGAUAAACGUUUAAGAUAUAUUCUUUAUAAUAUUAGAGAAAUCGAACGGUUGAUCUAUAACUCGCAAAGUGGUUGUAGCUCAAGUAAUUUUACUCCCCAAUUUUACAUAAAACAUAAAAUAAAAACAAAUCCUAAUUUACAUGGUAAUUUUUUUUCAUAGCUAGGGACAACUUCGACUAUGGUAAUGCAAUUAAUAUACACUAGUUUUGGAUGGAGAAGUUUCAAGAUUGAGCAUGGGAUGGGGAGGGGCGAGAGACUUGGAUGGAGAGUGAGGUUUUAUGAGUUAAACAGUGAUGCAAGGAUGUAUUACUUAAAACUUUAGAGACCGUAUGUUGGGCUAUAUAUAAUUGUUUAACUCAUAAACGUUUUGAGUGUUUCUAACAUAUGCUUAUCAAAAGCCUUCUCGUUCUAUCAAACAAUACGAAAAUUUUCAAUUGAAUGCAAGACAUACUAUUUUAUAUAUCACAGUACUUCAUGGAUCAUCAUCAUCACAUAUCCUUAAUUCAAAGGUAAUAAAUGAGCAUCUAGUUUUAUUUUUAUUUUAUUUUAUAUAGGGACUACAGAAGCAAGCACCCUUUGUAAAUUAAACUCUAAAACUUCUCAAGUAUCUUGAAAGGUGCCAAAAGCCAUCAGCCAACUCCAGUUGAUGCAUA
rnacentral:lncRNA from 1 species